rnacentral:rRNA from 1 species
AGCGAACGCUGGCGGCAGGCUUAACACAUGCGAGUCGAGCGGGCCCUUCGGGGUCAGCGGCAGACGGGUGAGUAACACGUGGGAACGUACCCUUUGGUUCGGAAUAACGCUGGGAAACUAGCGCUAAUACCGGAUACGCCCUUUUGGGGAAAGGCUUGCUGCCGAAGGAUCGGCCCGCGUCUGAUUAGCUAGUUGGUGGGGUAAUGGCCUACCAAGGCGACGAUCAGUAGCUGGUCUGAGAGGAUGAUCAGCCACACUGGGACUGAGACACGGCCCAGACUCCUACGGGAGGCAGCAGUGGGGAAUAUUGGACAAUGGGCGCAAGCCUGAUCCAGCCAUGCCGCGUGAGUGAUGAAGGCCUUAGGGUUGUAAAGCUCUUUUGUCCGGGACGAUAAUGACGGUACCGGAAGAAUAAGCCCCGGCUAACUUCGUG